UACGUAGGGGGCAAGCGUUGUCCGGAUUUAUUGGGCGUAAAGAGCGUGUAGGCGGCCAGACAGGUCCGUUGUGAAAACUCGAGGCUCAACCUCGAGAUGUCGAUGGAAACCGUCUGGCUAGAGUCCGGAAGAGGAGUGUGGAAUUCCUGGUGUAGCGGUGAAAUGCGCAGAUAUCAGGAAGAACACCUGAGGCGAAGGCGGGCUACUGGGCCGAUACUGACGCUGAUGUGCGAAAGCCAGGGGAGCGAACGGG
rnacentral:rRNA from 1 species